rnacentral:rRNA from 1 species
AUACGUAGGGGGCGAGCGUUGUCCGGAAUGAUUGGGCGUAAAGGGCGCGUAGGCGGCGCGGUAAGUCUGGAGUGAAAGUCCUGUUUUUAAGAUGGGAAUUGCUUUGGAUACUGUCGGGCUUGAGUGCAGGAGAGGUAAGUGGAAUUCCCAGUGUAGCGGUGAAAUGCGUAGAGAUUGGGAGGAACACCAGUGGCGAAGGCGACUUACUGGACUGUAACUGACGCUGAGGCGCGAAAGCGUGGGGAGCGAACAGGAUUAGAUACCCUGGUAGUCCACGCGGUAAACGAUGAAUGCUAGGUGUUGCGGGUAUCGACCCCUGCAGUGCCGGAGUAAACACAAUAAGCAUUCCGCCUGGGGAGUACGGCCGCAAGGUUGAAACUCAAAGGAAUUGACGGGG